GUAAUGUAAUGUUGGCCUUGCUGCUCUACAGGCUCUCUGAUUCAGCUGCCAUCAGUGGAGCGAGGAAAGCUCAGUAAGGUCCGUCUGGGUUCUCUGUCGCUAAAGAAGGAAGGGGAGAGACAGUGUUUCCUCUUCACCAAACACUUCCUUGUGUGCACUCGCAGCUCUGGGGGAAAACUGCACCUCCUCAAGCAAGGCGGAGUUUUGUCCCUAAUUGACUGCACGCUGAUAGAGGAACCUGACGCCAGCGAUGAGGAGGUAAAGGCUGGUGGUCAAGUGUUCGGUCAGCUGGACUUUAAACUGGUGGUGGAGCCAUCAGACUCACCUUCGUUCACUGUCGUCCUGCUGGCACCGUCGCUACAGGAGAAGGCUGCGUGGACCAGUGACAUUAGCCAGGUAAU